AUUAGCCUUUUUUGUUUUGGCCAAACUCAAAUUUUGGCCAGAAUACUCCUCAGACUCCCUCCCUCCCGCUCCCUCCCGCUCCCUCUUUCCCACACAAAUUUGGGCCAAGAGUUAAAGAACUGAGAAGUUUCACACUGACCCCGUCCCCCCCCCCCCCCUCUCUGUCUCUCGUCUGCCAUCUCUUCCUCGUCGAAACCAAAUCUGGCCCCCUCGAAACCAAAUCUGGCCCCCAAGAUCAAUCCAAACUCUCUUCAAAUCGUUUUGGUUCGAGGAAAACCUAGAAACUGAAAACCUCUCUCUCUCAGACACUCAAUCUCCCCGACAGUCGAUGGCAGCGGCACGAUGGGCGGCGUCACUCAAUCUCCUUGACGGUGGACGUUGAGUUCUCCUUGUAAGUCAUUCUCUCUCUCUCUCUCUCAUUCAAAAAUUCGAUCUGUUCCUCUCUCAGAUUCGAUCUGGACGGUUGAGAAUUGAGAUGGUGGUAUGGGGCGAUGGUUUUGUGGGGGGAGAUUUUGGGGAGUUUUCUCACUUUCUGGGUUUUUCUUUUCUGAUUUACUCUAGAGUCUGGAGGGAGUUGGUAUUGGUCGGAACUAAUUAUUAUUCGUUGUUGCAAUUUUAAUCUGAGCCUGUCGAAGUUUAAAGACAUAAACAGACAAAGCAGUUGAGAUUAGAAUAUGGGUUCUAGCUUCUUGCAAACUGAAACUCAGUUCUAGGCCGAGCUGUGGGAGGGUUAUUGUGUUCUUACUGGAAAACCAGGGCUAUGUAUCCUCCAGGUGGAGUUUAUGCUCAUCCGGGUAUGGUCAUGAUAUGAUGUUCUUCCUCCGAUGGAGUUUCACAAAGGCUCCCCUCAUGGUUUUAGAUAGCCCGAUUAAUAAAGCUGGGAAGUUGCGAUGUGUGUAUAUGAAGACCGAGGAUGGUAAACUUAUUGAGAUUAAACCAUAUGUUCGUAUCCCAAGGUGUCAUGUUGCAGCUGCUUCGGAAACUGAGUAUAUCUGCCGUUGGUAAGCCUGAGAAACUUAUGCGUAUGAUCAAGAACCCUGUGACACAAUAUUUACCUAUUAACUCCCGGAAAGUAGUUCAGAGAAAUUAGUUAGCAUUCAAAAAUAUGUUGCUGCUGCUGAAAACAAUAUGGACCUUGUUUUUGUGGUUGGUGCAAUGGCUUAUGGCAAAGUUGAGACAAUGGGUUCUUAAUUUUUUUUCAGUUUUUAUUUUAGGUCUAUUUCCCACCUUUUUUGGUUUCUCUAUGUUUGGUUCAACUAUUGAAGUAAAUUCUGGAUUGCAGAUGAUGGUCGCAUUCUCCUCGCUUUUCUCUAGUUUGGUUCAACUAUUUAGAUGUAGCUGUCAUUUGCAAUUCUGGAACACAGAAAGUUGUUAAGAACUGGUCCUUAUCCCAUUCUUGAGCAGCCUUGAAAUAAUUCAAUGCUGAAAAUGCUUUCUUGGGGAUCCUCUUCAACAAGAUUAUGGACUGGCUUUUUUGGCUGAUCGAGGUGUCUUUGGUUGGACAUUUGGACAAAAAUUGCAAACCACUCGCUUCAACUUUAAAGGCUUGACACCAUGGCUGCACAGACUAAGUUCCUGGAAUAGUGGGAAGACAAGAGUUUGUAUCAAUAUGUUGGCUAUUGAAACCAAGUUCUUGCACAAACUCUAUAUGUGGCAUGUUUUACGUAGUUGUAUAAGCUUUUGGGAAAUGCUUUUAACAUUAAGAGAUAUGUAAAAUGGGUUUUAUUACUCAUUUGAGCAUUUGGAAUGUGUUUUCUUUCCAAUUGAUCAAUGUUCAUUAGGUAAAAUGGAGCUAUAUAUGCACAAAAUAUAGCAAAUGAAAAUGAUUGUACAACAGUUUUAUAGUGUGGCAAACCAACGUUGU